GACAACGUGGCCGAGCGGUUAAGGCGAUUGACUAGAAUAUUCUGCAUUCUCAGACACUACUCUUCUUCUUUGAACGAAGGAGUGUGUUCUACCAUCAAUUGGGAUAUUCCCGCGUAGGUUCAAAUCCUGCCGUUGUCG
rfam:Puccinia sorghi strain RO10H11247 Scaffold_216, whole genome shotgun sequence.